rnacentral:rRNA from 1 species
CCCUGGAACGGGGCGCCAAAGAGGGUGAGAGCCCCGUAUAGACGGAUGCCUAGCCUGUGUAAAGCUCCUUCGACGAGUCGAGUAGUUUGGGAAUGCUGCUCAAAAUGGGAGGUAAAUUUCUUCUAAAGCUAAAUACCGGCCAGAGACCGAUAGCGCACAAGUAGAGUGAUCGAAAGAUGAAAAGCACUUUGAAAAGAGGGUUAAAUAGCACGUGAAAUUGUUGAAAGGGAAGCGCUUGUGACCAGACUUGCGCCGGGCUGAUCAUCCGGUGUUCUCACCGGUGCACUCUGCCCGGCUCAGGCCAGCAUCGGUUCUCGCGGGGGGAUAAAGGCUUAGGGAACGUAGCUCCUCCGGGAGUGUUAUAGCCCUCUGCGUAAUACCCUCGCGGGGACCGAGGUCUGCGCUCUGCAAGGAUGCUGGCGUAAUGGUCAUCAGCGACCCGUCUUGAAACACGGACCAAGGAGUCAAGGUUUUGCGCGAGUGUUUGGGUGUAAAACCCGCACGCGUAAUGAAAGUGAACGUAGGUGAGAGCUUCGGCGCAUCAUCGACCGAUCCUGAUGUACUCGGAUGGAUUUGAGUAAGAGCGUUAAGCCUUGGACCCGAAAGAUGGUGAACUAUGCUUGGAUAGGGUGAAGCCAGAGGAAACUCUGGUGGAGGCUCGCAGCGGUUCUGACGUGCAAAUCGAUCGUCAAAUCUGAGCAUG